rnacentral:lncRNA from 1 species
AGAUGAGCCGCGGGAAAGGAGACGAGGGGCGGUGGCCAGGCGGUUGCCCUGACAACGGGGAACCGACCGACUCUUCCCGGUAGGGAGAGGCGAUGGCGGAAUUACUCCUCUAAUGUCAAGGUAUUCUAAUCACAGAAUUACUGGAGCAUCAAGAAGUGCCUGCAUGCUUGGAAGGGCUUCCAGGCAGAUGAACACACCUCAGCACCGGGUGGCAUUUUCCCAGGGUGCAACCCGGACCGGCUCUGGGUCACACUGACAAGCCUCUCCGACUCCCCAGGCUGGGUUGGGUGCUCCUCCCUCUCAUCCCACAGCGCUAUGUCUCAUGUCUUCUGGAAAACUUGCCAAUCCCUAGUGACAACAGGGUUAACAAUUUCCAGAGACAGCCCGUACAUAGAAGGAAUGUUUACUGAAAAAAAUGAAGAGGGGUCAGGGCAAGGCGAGGAGCAAGAAGCACCCCCAAGGAAACAGAGAAGACCAGUACAACUGUACCUCUUUGCCAGCUGCACCAUCCGUACCAGGUGGCACGUUCCAGAGCCAUAGCCUCUGUUCUAUUCAUCUCCAGUCUCCUGGGGUGGAAGUGUCCAGCACAGAGACUGCCACACUGCAAGACGAAGGGGCUGGACACACGGAAGAGAGAGGCGGAACCCUGCACCCCCUCAACCUCAGCCCUACUGAGUCUCCAAUGGGGCCACGCUUCUGAGUGCACCUCCCCGUGUCAUCUGUAAUGUGAGGGGGAACCAGGCUUGAUAUGGCAUUCCCAAUCCAGGGCCUCUGGACCCCUUGAGAUGCAU